UUUGCGUUUUGAUCCGUGCAUGCUGUUUGGGUUCUGUGUUUAAAAUUAUGCUGGUCGUUGGACCCCAUGAAAAUAAACAUUUCUCUUCUCAUUGUAUCAGACUAAGUUAUGUAACAGGACAGUGUUAGUUAUCAACUAGUUACAGGCAUGUCUCAUAUACAUUUGAAAAGUCAUGAAGUAUCUUGAGUCAAAGCGUGGACAAUUAUAUAUUAUGGUGACUGAAUACUGCUGGCUGGUAUAAAGGAACAUCACUAAAAACUAACUGUUCUGGUAUACCCAUUUCCUAAAACCAGAGUGACACCAGCAAAUUAAAAAUUGAAAAAUAAUAUUUUUAUUUUAAUUAAAAUAUCUGUUUGUCUAUUUGGAAAAUCCAGAAUUAUUCAUCUUCAGUUCAAGAACAAAAAAAUGGUCAUUUGUCAAAUAAUGUUUGAUGUUAAAUGAUUGUAGUUUUCAAAGUGAUUUAAAUGAAAAUUUACCUUUAUAUAUAUACCAUCUGAAGCACUCGUAGCAGAAGACCUUCUGUAUAUUUUGUGUGUCAAGUUGGUUGUCUGAAAUACAAUCAAUAUUUUUUCAUGUCCAAUCAUCACCAACAUAUCAUUUAAAAUCUGUAUGUAGUAAUACAGGUUUGCAAAAUGCAACUAAACUUACAGCAUCAUUAAAUAUUAACAAUGAUAUUUUGACAAUGAUUCAAAUGCUGUUGGUACUGUUGCUUGCUCCUUCUACUACUGAAACACCAUCAAAUUCCUUGAGUCCAGAAAAUUGUUUCAGUUGGCUUAAAAACAUGGGAGGAAAAAAUGCUUCCUUACAAGAAAUAAAUUCAGUGCAUAGUUUUUUAAUACAACAAUUAAAAAAAUCUACAUUUUGAUGUGGGUAAUCUAGUAUUUAAUGAUAAUACACCAACAUUAUAGUUGCACCAUCUUAACCAGUUCACACUAGUGAACAACAACCAAAUGAAUCAUUGGUUUCAUUGUUAAUCGCAUUGAUUAGAUACAAAUAAUGCGGUUUGUUUUAAGCCACCAGACUAAAAACUUAAACAUAGUUCACAUACUCAGCAAACUAAUAUGUAAGUUUAAUAGUAUUAUAUACUCUAUUCAACUUAAGAAACAUAGUCAGCGGCGACCAGUAUUUGACAGCGGCGGUCAUGUACCUCCUAUUGUUCUCCCACAGUUCACGUUCACUACCUACCCGCUACUAGAUUAUUCACAGUACUAUAAACUUUGCAUACUAAUGUUGUUAAAAACUUUACUUGUCCAAUAACAUUAUCAAAAUAUUUAAAUUAAUUUUAAGUUAUUAUCUAAUUUAUACAGUGAACCUAAUGAGUCUGUUCAAUAUUGUAAAUUGGUAUUGACUCAAAAAAUAAUAUUAUAUGAUAGAAAAAACACUAUAAUAAUAAUCAAAUAUAUUGAUAUAGAAUUUUAUUUAUUUAUUCAAUUUAAUGUUCAA